rnacentral:rRNA from 1 species
GGGCCGCGGGAUUAGAGUUUGAUCAUGGCUCAGAUUGAACGCUGGCGGCAGGCCUAACACAUGCAAGUCGAGCGGAAACGACACUAACAAUCCUUCGGGUGCGUUAAUGGGCGUCGAGCGGCGGACGGGUGAGUAAUGCCUAGGAAAUUGCCUUGAUGUGGGGGAUAACCAUUGGAAACGAUGGCUAAUACCGCAUGAUGCCUACGGGCCAAAGAGGGGGACCUUCGGGCCUCUCGCGUCAAGAUAUGCCUAGGUGGGAUUAGCUAGUUGGUGAGGUAAUGGCUCUCCAAGGCGACGAUCCCUAGCUGGUCUGAGAGGAUGAUCAGCCACACUGGAACUGAGACACGGUCCAGACUCCUACGGGAGGCAGCAGUGGGGAAUAUUGCACAAUGGGCGCAAGCCUGAUGCAGCCAUGCCGCGUGUAUGAAGAAGGCCUUCGGGUUGUAAAGUACUUUCAGUUGUGAGGAAGGGGGUGUUGUUAAUAGCAACAUCUCUUGACGUUAGCAACAGAAGAAGCACCGGCUAACUCCGUGCCAGCAGCCGCGGUAAUACGGAGGGUGCGAGCGUUAAUCGGAAUUACUGGGCGUAAAGCGCAUGCAGGUGGUUCAUUAAGUCAGAUGUGAAAGCCCGGGGCUCAACCUCGGAACUGCAUUUGAAACUGGUGAACUAGAGUACUGUAGAGGGGGGUAGAAUUUCA